AUUGAACGCUGGCGGCAGGCCUAACACAUGCAAGUCGAACGAGUGGCGGACGGGUGAGUAAUGUCUGGGAAACUGCCUGAUGGAGGGGGAUAACUACUGGAAACGGUAGCUAAUACCGCAUACCAUCGGAUGUGCCCAGAUGGGAUUAGCUAGCAGGUGGGGUAAAGGCUCACCUAGGCGACGAUCCCUAGCUGGUCUGAGAGGAUGACAAGCCAAACUGUAACUGAGACACCAUGCAGACUCUUACUGGAGGCAGCAGUGGUGAAUAUUGCACAAUGGGCGCAAGCCUGAGGCAGCCAUGCCGCGUGAAUGAAGAAGGCCUUCGGGUUGUAAAGUACUUUCAGCGAGGAGGCGUUACCCGCAGAAGAAGCACCGGCUAACUCCGUGCCAGCAGCCGCGGUAAUUC
rnacentral:rRNA from 1 species